GCCAGUGUGGUGUAGUGGUUUGAAUGUUGGGCUAUGAUUCUGGAUACCAGGGUUUGAAUACCUGCUCAGUCA